rnacentral:tRNA from 1 species
CCGCGAUAGCUCAGUUGGUAGAGCGACUGAUUCGUAAUCAGUAGGUCGGGGGUUCGAGUCCCCCUAUCGGC